UAAUGGAACACCCCGGACACCAUAACCACUACAGUGUUUUGUAGUGGUUAUGGUGCCGAUGGCCCCGUU